UACAGAGGUCCCAAGCGUUGUUCGGAUUUACUGGGCGUAAAGGGUGCGUAGGUGGCGAGGUAAGUUUGAUGUGAAAUCUCCGAGCUCAACUCGGAAAUGGCAUUGAAUACUAUCCCGCUUGAGGGUCGGAGGGGAGACUGGAAUUCUCGGUGUAGCAGUGAAAUGCGUAGAUAUCGAGAGGAACACCAGUGGCGAAGGCGAGUCUCUGGACGACUCCUGACACUGAGGCACGAAAGCUGGGGGGAGCAAACAGG
rnacentral:rRNA from 1 species